CCUCCCUUCUGGAAAAGUCUUACAGGACUCAGGCGGAGGGAAACCAACACAGAAGUGACUCGGAAAGCAUGAUGGCAAAUGAUUAAUCAAAUCAGAGACAGGAAGGCGGAGGCAUACGGCGCCGGGCACCGGGCAGGGCUGCGCCCCGCGGGACCCCGCCUGUCCCCUGCGGGGACCCGCCCGCGCUCCCGGAAAGAGGCAGGCGAGGACCACGGAUCGGGAAAGCAUCGGCAGCGAAGGAGAGCCUUGCUCUCCCUCAAGCUGCACAGUGCGCAAAUACCCUGAGAAAUCUCAUCAGUGACCAUUUUCGAUGGCACGAUGGCAUCAUUUUCGGGACCCUCGAGGGACAUGUCACUGACAACUGAUGGGCAAUCUGGCGUUUGGCUGGGGCAGGGGCGUCUGCAGAAAAACCGCAGAGCUUCGCUAAAUGGGGUCUGGGAGAGGACAGGGUUCGUGAUUUACGAUUUUGCGGGGUAGCCUCCACUUCUUCGGGCAAGCAGUGCUUGCCAAGGUGCGGGUUUGGAGGCACGUUGCCGGCCCGCCGGAGAGAAGAGUUACUGAGUUACUGAGUUAAGAGUUGCAGAUAUGUCGCCCGUUUCCCCGUUUUUUCCCAGCGAUAACUGUGACUCUUUUCAUUACUAUCGUUUUGUUCCUCAAAAACCCAAACAAAAGUACAAGGCGAAGCUGAACACAUCAUGAGGCGUAAUGUUCUAAGUUAUCAAAAGGGGGAAGAAGCAAAAAAGAGUCACUCAUUACUGAUCUCUCUUUUUCAGGUGUUGCUUUUAACAAGAUGUUCAGAAAAAAAUUGACCUGCAGUUCCUCUGCUCCUGACUUUGGAGGUGAUAUCGCUUGAUGCUUAUCAGCCACAACACCUGAGGCAUUUGGUACGAGGCUCCUGACUGCUCCCCACGCUCGGGUACGAGUGGUCCUUGCUGCACGAAGGCUGCCCCGCAUCCAGCUCCUCAUCCAGCCCCUCAUCCAGCCCCGCAUCGAACCCUGCAUCCAGCUCCUCAUACAACUCCACAUCCAAUUCCGCAUCCAACUCCGCAUCCAGUCCCGCAUCCAGCCCCGCAUCCAGUCCCGCAUCCAGCCCCGCAUCCAACCCCGCAUCCAGUCCCGCAUCCAUCCCUGCAUCCAACCCCGCAUGCAGCCCCGCAUCCAACCCCGCAUGCAACUCCAUAUCCAGCCCUGCAUCCAGUCCCGCAUCCAUCCCUGCAUCCAACCCCGCAUCCAGCUCCGCAUCCAGCCCAAGAGGAGCUGCUGGCAGCCCCGGCCGACAAUCAGAAGCAGCGCCGGUAACGGCUCGCAAAGCCCAGACAACGAAAUCCCGGGAAAUGUUUGCUGCCGGUGGCUGCCUGGCUACUGAAACACCCGCCGGGCCCGGGGUGAGGCCGGGACGGGUUUCGGGGGGAAGCAGGUUGCAGGAGCCCGAGGUUUGGGCAGCCGGAAUUCUGCCUUGGUGCGUUUUCAAAAAGGUUUUGGGGCCGCGGCUGCCGGGUGCUGCUGGCUGCUGCCAGCCCCUCCUGCCUUCAGAGCAGCCCCAGGCGGGGCAGGAGGGAAGGGCCCCGGGAUCCCCGCUGGUACCAGCUGGAGAGGGGCCUCCGAGGCCCUUCAAUCCAUGUCCUCGUUGGAUCCUGUCAUGGAUCUGAUGUUCCCAGGGAGCGGCGGGAGGGCGCGGGGCAGCGGCCACCCUUCCGGGCAGCCAGGGCAAGGGGCAAGGGCAGGGGCAGGGACAUGGGAAGGGGCGGCCUCUCAGUGUCCGGCCGUACAAGUUGCUUUUCUGCUUCCUAUGAAGCUCCCGAGAUACGGGGAUGUUUAAGGAAAAAAAAAAAAAAAAAAAACCCCCCCCCCCCAAAGAAAAGAAAAGAAAUAAAAAAGGAAAAAAAAAAAAAAAAAGAAAAAAAAAGAGAAACGGGAGAUUUUAAAAGAUAGAAUAAGGCUUUUUAAAAUACACAUCAGUGACGGUAUCUCCUGUAGAGCAGCCUCCUGCUCUGCCUGUUGUAGUUCCAGUCGCAGGGAACAGUCCUCUCAACCUACUCUUUCCCCAAAAUGAACGAGUUUGCUUCGGAACCUCUUCGUUCGCCUUUUUUGAUAAACCACAGUUCAGUUCAGCCCAGAGCAGCCAGUGGUGUCUGGGACAGUCACCAAUUGCCUUGAAACAAAAAUAGGAACCACUUGUUUAAACAUCUUAAGGUCCCAAAAUCUCUAAGAGCCAUCACAGAAGGGUUUGAGAUUUUUUUUUUCCCUUCCUGAAGCGCGAAGGGAGCGCGGGGAUUAUAGGGUAGAAUGUCUGCUCCGGCUGCUGCAAGCACCAGAAGAUUUCGGUUUGCCUUUUUUUUUUUUUCCCAUCAGUUUUUCCAUUCCUUGAGGAAAAUUUUU
rnacentral:lncRNA from 1 species